rnacentral:rRNA from 1 species
CCUGGCUCAGGAUGAACGCUAGCUACAGGCUUAACACAUGCAAGUCGAGGGGCAGCAUGGUCUUAGCUUGCUAAGGCYKWUGKYKWYCUKGCGCMCGGGKGAAGKAMCACGUAUCCAAMCWRMCAKUYUACUYUYGGACAGCYUUYUKWAAGGAAGAUUWAUACAAGAKGGCAUCAUGAGUUCGCAUGUUCACAUGAUUAAAGGUAUUCCGGUAGACGAUGGGGAUGCGUUCCAUUAGAUAGUAGGCGGGGUAACGGCCCACCUAGUCUUCGAUGGAUAGGGGUUCUGAGAGGAAGGUCCCCCACAUUGGAACUGAGACACGGUCCAAACUCCUACGGGAGGCAGCAGUGAGGAAUAUUGGUCAAUGGGCGCAGGCCUGAACCAGCCAAGUAGCGUGAAGGAUGACUGCCCUAUGGGUUGUAAACUUCUUUUAUAAAGGAAUAAAGUCGGGUAUGUAUACCCGUUUGCAUGUACUUUAUGAAUAAGGAUCGGCUAACUCCGUGCCAGCAGCCGCGGUAAUACGGAGGAUCCGAGCGUUAUCCGGAUUUAUUGGGUUUAAAGGGAGCGUAGAUGGAUGUUUAAGUCAGUUGUGAAAGUUUGGGGCUCAACCGUAAAAUUGCAGUUGAUACUGGAUAUCUUGAGUGCAGUUGAGGCAGGCGGAAUUCGUGGUGUAGCGGUGAAAUGCUUAGAUAUCACGAAGAACUCCGAUUGCGAAGGCAGCCUGCUAAGCUGCAACUGACAUUGAGGCUCGAAAGUGUGGGUAUCAAACAGGAUUAGAUACCCUGGUAGUCCACACGGUAAACGAUGAAUACUCGCUGUUUGCGAUAUACAGCAAGCGGCCAAGCGAAAGCGUUAAGUAUUCCACCUGGGGAGUACGCCGGCAACGGUGAAACUUAAAGAAAUUGACGG